rnacentral:misc_RNA from 1 species
GCUGCUGUUGAAGUUCCAUCUACAAAUGGAUAAUACUUCGGUUUUAGUGUAUACGAGUCAUUGAAGGAUCAAUACCAAACUUCUUGCAAGAAGUUUGGUAUUGAUCCGUUUGAUUCAGUAGUGUUUUAUUCACAUAAGAAUUUUUCUUAUUUUAAAGGAUUGGCAUUUUAUGUACAAUAUCUGUAUCUCAGUAGGAAGAAAAGUAAAGUAAUAAAGACUCAAUAGAAAGAUAAAGAUAAUGAAUGGUGAAAAUGGAAUCCUUUUGAGAGAGAGGGGGGGCGGAUGUGGCCAAGUGGAUCAAGGCAGUGGAUUUGUGAAU